rnacentral:rRNA from 1 species
UACGGGGGGAGCAAGCGUUGUUCGGAUUUACUGGGCGUAAAGGGCGCGUAGGCGGUCAGCACAAGUCAGUUGUGAAAUCUCCGGGCUUAACUCGGAAAGGUCGACUGAUACUGUGCGACUAGAGUGCAGAAGGGGCAACUGGAAUUCUCGGUGUAGCGGUGAAAUGCGUAGAUAUCGAGAGGAACACCUGCGGCGAAGGCGGGUUGCUGGGCUGACACUGACGCUGAUGCGCGAAAGCCAGGGGAGCGAACAGG